GAUGAACGCUGGCGGCGUGCCUAAUACAUGCAAGUCGAGCGAACAGACGAGGAGCUUGCUCCUCUGACGUUAGCGGCGGACGGGUGAGUAACACGUGGAUAACCUACCUAUAAGACUGGGAUAACUUCGGGAAACAGGAGCUAAUACCGGAUAAUAUAUUGAACCGCAUGGUUCAAUAGUGAAAGACGGUUUUGCUGUCACUUAUAGAUGGAUCCGCGCCGCAUUAGCUAGUUGGUAAGGUAACGGCUUACCAAGGCAACGAUGCGUAGCCGACCUGAGAGGGUGAUCAGCCACACUGGAACUGAGACACGGUCCAGACUCCUACGGGAGGCAGCAGUAGGGAAUCUUCCGCAAUGGGCGAAAGCCUGACGGAGCAACGCCGCGUGAGUGAUGAAGGUCUUCGGAUCGUAAAACUCUGUUAUUAGGAAAGAACAAAUGUGUAAGUAACUAUGCACGUCUUGACGGUACCUAAUCAGAAAGCCACGGCUAACUUCGUG
rnacentral:rRNA from 1 species